CGAUGGGUAGGGGUCCUGAGAGGGAGAUCCCCCACACUGGUACUGAGACACGGACCAGACUCCUACGGGAGGCAGCAGUGAGGAAUAUUGGACAAUGGGCGCAAGCCUGAUCCAGCCAUGCCGCGUGCAGGAUGACGGUCCUAUGGAUUGUAAACUGCUUUUAUACGAGAAGAAACACUACUUCGUGAAGUAGCUUGACGGUAUCGUAAGAAUAAGGAUCGGCUAACUCCGUGCCAGCAGCCGCGGUAAUACGGAGGAUCCAAGCGUUAUCCGGAAUCAUUGGGUUUAAAGGGUCCGUAGGCGGUUUAAUAAGUCAGUGGUGAAAGCCCAUCGCUCAACGGUGGAACGGCCAUUGAUACUGUUAAACUUGAAUUAUUAGGAAGUAACUAGAAUAUGUAGUGUAGCGGUGAAAUGCUUAGAGAUUACAUGGAAUACCAAUUGCGAAGGCAGGUUACUACUAAUGGAUUGACGCUGAUGGACGAAAGCGUGGGUAGCGAACAGGAUUAGAUACCCUGGUAGUCCACGCCGUAAACGAUGGAUACUAGCUGUUGGAAGCAAUUUCAGUGGCUAAGCGAAAGUGAUAAGUAUCCCACCUGGGGAGUACGUUCGCAAGAAUGAAACUCAAAGGAAUUGACGGGGGCCCGCACAAGCGGUGGAGCAUGUGGUUUAAUUCGAUGGUACGCGAGGAACCUUACCAAGGCUUAAAUGUAGAUUGACCGGUUUGGAAACAGAUCUUUCGCAAGACAAUUUACAAGGUGCUGCAUGGUUGUCGUCAGCUCGUGCCGUGAGGUGUCAGGUUAAGUCCUAUAACGAGCGCAACCCCUGUUGUUAGUUGCCAGCGAGUCAAGUCGGGAACUCUAACAAGACUGCCAGUGCAAACUGUGAGGAAGGUGGGGAUGACGUCAAAUCAUCACGGCCCUUACGCCUUGGGCUACACACGUGCUACAAUGGCCGGUACAGAGAGCAGCCACUGGGCGACCAGGAGCGAAUCUAUAAAACCGGUCACAGUUCGGAUCGGAGUCUGCAACUCGACUCCGUGAAGCUGGAAUCACUAGUAAUCGGAUAUCAGCCAUGAUCCGGUGAAUACGUUCCCGGGCCUUGUACACACCGCCCGUCAAGCCAUGGAAGCUGGGGGUGCCUGAAGUCGGUGACCGCAAGGAGCUGCCUAGGGUAAAACUGGUAACUAGGGCUAAGUCGUAACAAGGUA
rnacentral:rRNA from 1 species